rnacentral:rRNA from 1 species
GAUGAACGCUAGCGGCAGGCCUAAUACAUGCAAGUCGAACGGUAUUCAGAUGCUUGCAUUUGAAGAGAGUGGCGCACGGGUGCGUAACGCGUAUGAAACCUACCUUUAACAGGGGGAUAGCCUCUCGAAAGAGAGAUUAAUACCGCAUAAUAUCGGGAGUGGGCAUCCACAUUCGAUUAAAUAUUUAUAGGUUAAAGAUGGUCAUGCGUGACAUUAGCUAGUUGGAGAGGUAAUGGCUCACCAAGGCGACGAUGUCUAGGGGAUCUGAGAGGAUGGCCCCCCACACUGGUACUGAGACACGGACCAGACUCCUACGGGAGGCAGCAGUAAGGAAUAUUGGUCAAUGGACGGAAGUCUGAACCAGCCAUGCCGCGUGCAAGAAGAAGGCCCUACGGGUUGUAAAUUGCUUUUAAUCGAAGAAUAACAGUAACUACGUGUAGUUGUAUGAAAGUAUCGAUAGAAUAAGGAUCGGCUAACUCCGUGCC